rnacentral:rRNA from 1 species
ACGGGUGAGUAAUGUCUGGGAAACUGCCCGAUGGAGGGGGAUAACUACUGGAAACGGUAGCUAAUACCGCAUAACGUCGCAAGACCAAAGAGGGGGACCUUCGGGCCUCUUGCCAUCGGAUGUGCCCAGAUGGGAUUAGCUUGUAGGUGAGGUAACGGCUCACCUAGGCGACGAUCCCUAGCUGGUCUGAGAGGAUGACCAGCCACACUGGAACUGAGACACGGUCCAGACUCCUACGGGAGGCAGCAGUGGGGAAUAUUGCACAAUGGGCGCAAGCCUGAUGCAGCCAUGCCGCGUGUAUGAAGAAGGCCUUCGGGUUGUAAAGUACUUUCAGCGGGGAGGAAGGGAGUGAGGUUAAUAACCUUAUUCAUUGACGUUACCCGCAGAAGAAGCACCGGCUAACUCCGUGCCAGCAGCCGCGGUAAUACGGAGGGUGCGAGCGUUAAUCGGAAUUACUGGGCGUAAAGCGCACGCAGGCGGUCUGUCAAGUCGGAUGUGAAAUCCCCGGGCUCAACCUGGGAACUGCAUUCGAAACUGGCAGGCUGGAGUCUUGUAGAGGGGGGUAGAAUUCCAGGUGUAGCGGUGAAAUGCGUAGAGAUCUGGAGGAAUACCGGUGGCGAAGGCGGCCCCCUGGACAAAGACUGACGCUCAGGUGCGAAAGCGUGGGGAGCAAACAGGAUUAGAUACCCUGGUAGUCCACGCUGUAAA